AAUCAACGCUGGCGGCGUGCCUCAGACAUGCAAGUCGAACGAUUAAAGCUCUCUUCGGAGAGUGCAUAAAGUGGCGCACGGGUGAGUAACACGUAAGUAAUCUACCUUUGAGUGGGGAAUAACAGUCGGAAACGGCUGCUAAUACCGCAUAAUGCAGCGGCACCGCAAGGUGACAGUUGUUAAAGGAGCAAUCCGCUUGAGGAGGAGCUUGCGGCAGAUUAGCUAGUUGGUGAGGUAAUGGCUCACCAAGGCAGUGAUGAGUAGCUGGUCUAAGAGGAUGAUCAGCCACACUGGAACUGAAACACGGUCCAGACUCCUACGGGAGGCAGCAGUGGGGAAUCUUGCGCAAUGGACGAAAGUCUGACGCAGCCACGCCGCGUGAGGGAGGAAAUCCUUCGGGAUGUAAACCUCGCAAGCAAGGGAAGAAUGCUUGAGACCUAACACGUCUCAAGAGGGACGGUACCUUGCGUAA
rnacentral:rRNA from 1 species